CUCUGGGUUUGUGCACGCGUAUAAGCACGCGUACAUUGGACUUCAGACGUGAAAACUAGUCCUUUUCAGCAGCUGGCAGAAACGUGUCCCUUUAGCGUUUGGGCGGCCAGGUACGUUUGCCCAGGGAGGAAGCCGCGCUCGUUUUCUAGGCCAAGGGUUCAGGGUUGCAGCUCGGCGGGCGCGGAGAGGCUCGUCUCGGGCAGCUGCGACUCCUGGCGCCCGACAGCCUUUCAUCGGAGGGAUUCUUUUUCUCGUUUUCACCCUCCUCGGACAGGUGCGCGCGAAGGGUCGGAUCCGCUUCCUCAGAACGAUUCCUGCAGCGGAGGAAAUGGCCCUUCUCUGGAAAUCUCGGGACACCUGUCCCGGCUCAGAGGGCGACUCGUAGCCGCGCGUCCCCGUCCCCCAUUUUGCUGGCGGCAACCAGCUAUGGCGGCCUCCCCGUUAGUGCCGAGCGCCUUCCUUCCCCGCCACCCGCCGGCUUCGACUUCUGCCUGCGCACGGAGCCCGCUUCCCGGCCCGCCUGCUCGCAGCCCCUCCGGCGGGAGCCGAGCGAGGGAGGGGAAGGCAGGCAGGCAGGCAGGGGUUUUCGCUCGACGCCCACCAGGGGCUGAGUGAGCCUCCUUCAGUGCGCAAGCUCGGGGCACCAGAUAAAAGCUGGGCUGGCAGCUCCUGCCCUGCCUUGAUGGAGCCGAGAGCAACGAGUGGCAGAAGGAGGGAGUUAGGAACAGGCUUAGAUAAGAGGAGCUGGCUCCCGGUAGGAGGAGGAGGAAGAAGCAGCUGAGGUGGGAAUGGCACUUGUCUGGCUGCCCGACUGGACCCCACAGAAGGCGGCUGCCAUGGGGCACAGACUAUGCAGAGGGGGCGCUUGGUGGGGCUGCUCGCUUGGGGGUUCCGCUUGUUGUAAUACGAAAUGGCGACUGCCGUCUCGGGGCGGUUGGUGAUUGUCGCGCCGCGAGGUUGUUGUUCUCCUCCCUCCUCCCUCCUCCCCCCUCUGCCCUUCUUCCCUCCCCUCCCCCUUCCUGUCUUUGGCCGUUUCUCCGCAGCGAACCGCGGAGAGCGCACUGAGUCAGGAGGAGGCGGGGGGGAGGGUGGGGAGCGGCGGCCGCGCAGCCAAUCAGCUCUGCGGACGGGCCGCGGAGGCGCGCUCCGAUUGGCAGGCGCUGACAUCAUCCUGCAGCAGGGGCAGACGCAGCUGCUGGGCAGGGCUCGGGGAGCUGUCGGGGGUGGCUGGUGCAAAGGGAGAAAACGGGCGCCAUGAUACCAGCCGCGCUGCUGGUGGCGCAGAGUGACUCCAUCCUUCAGUGUUUUCCGGAUUUCCAGACACCCACCCGCGCCUUGCAAGGGAAAAUAUGACACACUUCACGUAGUCCGUGUUGGGGAUGCAAGGAGGAAGUUGGUCAUCGGUGAUAGCAUGGUGGUUUUAGUGUAGUGCAGCUGCCUUUCUGUGAAACUAAUGGAUGAAGAUCCUGAUCUCCCUCCCCUUGCAGGGAGAUUUCUGAUCUCCAUUUUAGGUUCCAUGGAUGACGGUGGUGAACGAGAGGCUAAAUGUAACAGGAUAGACCUUCUUAGAUACACUCUUUUUGAAGAAAACACAUGACUUGGUGCAACCUAAAGUGACAGGGCACAUUCCUAACCCGUCAGACUGGACAUAUUUGACCAUAUCUGGAUGUAGCCUGACUUUUUUUUAAUGCUGCUAACUAAUCAUUAGCAAGGGCUAGAAAUACCCUUGGAACUUGCGUGCUCUUAAAAAAAGAAGAACCUACAUUCUUCUAGUCUUAAAUAUUAUUAGAUUGUGCUGCAUGUACUUGUUGCUGAACUGCAUUAUUAAUCCUAACUAUCAAUAGGUGGAUCUUGGAUUGUUUUGGUUUUACAAUGGUAACAUUUAAAAUACAGACACCUGAACAUUUGGCUUCCCCUGCCCCCAGUGUUAGGACUAUUUGGGGAUAUUAAUCUAAAAUAUAUAAGCUAUAGCUGAGGGUGAAGCCCAGUUGCUUACAUAACUUUAUUUUGUUGCUAAAGUUAUCUGCUUUAGUUACAGCUCUGAAGGGAAUUUUUCAAAUAGCAUACAAUAAUGGGGAAUUCUUAAAAAGUGUGCUGUUUGUUUUUCCAUGGUAUC